AGCUCGUGUCGUGAGAUGUUGGGUUAAGUCCCGCAACGAGCGCAACCCUUGUCAUUAGUUGCUACGCAAGAGCACUCUAAUGAGACUGCCGGUGACAAACCGGAGGAAGGUGGGGAUGACGUCAGGUCCUCAUGGCCCUUAUGGGUAGGGCUACACACGUCAUACAAUGGCCGGUACAGAGGGCUGCCAACCCGCGAGGGGGAGCCAAUCCCAGAAAACCGGUCGUAGUCCGGAUCGUAGUCUGCAACUCGACUGCGUGAAGUCGGAAUCGCUAGUAAUCGCGGAUCAGCUUGCCGCGGUGAAUACGUUCCCGGGUCUU
rnacentral:rRNA from 1 species